UACGUAGGGUGCGAGCGUUGUCCGGAAUUAUUGGGCGUAAAGGGCGCGUAGGCGGCACGGCAAGUCAGGAGUGAAAGGCCUGGGCUCAACCGAGGAACUGCUUUUGAGACUGCCGAGCUAGAGUGCAGAAGGGGCAACUGGAAUUCCCAGUGUAGCGGUGAAAUGCGUAGAUAUUGGGAAGAACACCUGAGGCGAAGGCGGGUUGCUGGGCUGACACUGACGCUGAGGCGCGAAAGCCAGGGGAGCAAACGGG
rnacentral:rRNA from 1 species